CCAGAAGUCUGGAACUGGCGCGGGGGCUUUGGAAGUAGCAAGUAGCAAUACAGUAGCAGCAAUGAGUGAUGGAAGCUGAUAGAAAAUGCAGUCACUUUGGUUAGCGGUUGGCCUGCACGAGAUGGCGUGGGCAUGUCAAUCUGAGGUCUCUGCCUCUGGUAGACAAGAUUUCUAUGCAUGAAAUAGAGUCCUGUUGCAGCCUGAGACCGAAAGUGCUGGCAGGGUUAAAGAAAUCAGGGCUGCAAAUCAACUGGGAUCUGCUAUAUUCACAGGACGUUGGAGUUUGGAUCUUGCUCAUGGCUGGCGAAGUGUUUAGAUCCUUUUGGAUGUCCUUCCAGAAGAGCACUCCCCAUCAACCCGCGGGCAGCUGAAUUCCCACCUCAGACUCUGCUCCAAGGGCGCCGUGUCUACGGAGGCGACGCUGAGGAUGGCUUAUCAGGUUGGGUCACUCACCCCACCACGAGGACCUGACCUUAAAUUCUCGGUGCAUCCUAAGUGUGACCCAGAGACCGCCUGCGUCAGAAGCACCUAGAAUGCUGUGGAAGCACCUUCAAUGCAGAUUCCUGGGCCCAACCCUGGUUCCACUGAAUCGGGGUCAGCUGGUGGGCCCAGGAAUUGGCAUUUUCAACAGCUUCCAAUUGUACACCAGAAUACUCAAGCUUGUGACUCCCCUGCUCACUGUUUUCUUCAUCCUUUCUCACUUCCUGCUGAGUACAUAUGUAUUUUACUACUUUUAGAGAUACUUUUACAAUAAAGGCAGUCUUGAAA
rnacentral:lncRNA from 10 species